rnacentral:piRNA from 1 species
UAAUGCUUAAUGUUCAUUCAUCUGGUGGUC